UUAUCUCUUUUGAUUAUUAGUUUGGUCACUUUUAGUUUUAGAGAUAAUUGCGUUUUUUU
rnacentral:sRNA from 1 species